GACGAACGCUGGCGGCGUGCUUAACACAUGCAAGUCGUACGGUAAGGCCCUUUCGGGGGUACACGAGUGGCGAACGGGUGAGUAACACGUGAGUAACCUGCCCACAACUUUGGGAUAACGCUAGGAAACUGGUGCUAAUACUGGAUAUGUGCUCCUGCUGCAUGGUGGGGGUUGGAAAGCUCCGGCGGUUGUGGAUGGACUCGCGGCCUAUCAGCUUGUUGGUGGGGUAGUGGCCUACCAAGGCGGCGACGGGUAGCCGGCCUGAGAGGGUGACCGGCCACAUUGGGACUGAGAUACGGCCCAGACGCCUACGGGAGGCAGCAGUGGGGAAUAUUGCACAAUGGGCGCAAGCCUGAUGCAGCAACGCCGCGUGCGGGAUGACGGCCUUCGGGUUGUAAACCGCGUUCAGCAGGGACGAAGCUUUUUGUGACGGUACCUGCAGGAGAAGCACCGGCUAACUACGUG
rnacentral:rRNA from 1 species